rnacentral:rRNA from 1 species
UACAGAGGGUGCAAGCGUUAAUCGGAAUUACUGGGCGUAAAGCGUGCGUAGACGGUUACAUAAGUCGGGUGUGAAAGCCCCGGGCUCAACCUGGGAAUUGCAUUCGAGACUGCGUAGCUAGGGUGCGGAAGAGGGAAGCGGAAUUUCCGGUGUAGCGGUGAAAUGCGUAGAUAUCGGAAGGAACACCAGUGGCGAAAGCGGCUUCCUGGUCCAGCACCGACGUUCAGGCACGAAAGCGUGGGGAGCAAAAGGG